rnacentral:rRNA from 1 species
UGCGUAGGCGGUUUGGUAAGUCUGAUGUGAAAUCUAUGGGCUCAACUCAUAGUCUGCAUCGGAAACUGCUGGGCUUGAGUGUGGGAGAGGUGAGUGGAAUUUCCGGUGUAGCGGUGAAAUGCGUAGAUAUCGGAAGGAACACCUGUGGCGAAAGCGGCUCACUGGACCACAACUGACGCUGAUGCACGAAAGCUAGGGGAGCAAACAGGAUUAGAUACCCUGGUAGUCCUAGCCCUAAACGAUGACUGCUUGGUGUGACGGGUACCCAAUCCCGCCGUGCCGUAGCUAACGCGUUAAGCAGUCCGCCUGGGGAGUACGGUCGCAAGGCUGAA